rnacentral:miRNA from 1 species
ACAUGAUGAGCCAGCUGUCGAGAGCUCCCUGAGGUAGCCUGUCCGAUGGUCUCAGAAAGAGCACUGGACUGGGAGUCAGCAGGCCUAAGGGA